AUAUAUGAAUGUAUGUUCUGUAAAACUUUGGUUUGUCUAAUUUGAAGUAUCUCCAAGUAAUUCAAUAAUGCGUAUUUCAACUUACGCAGACCACCGUGUUCUAUAUACAGUGAUAAUGGAUAUAUCUGCUUCUGUUCAUGAACGCAACGUAGUAGAAAUUGCUUAUGUUCCUCAUCUGCUGUAAUUAAACCAUGGAAGUAUUUCGUUAACUUUCUAAGUAUAUCUCAGCCGUAAAAUUAACUGCUCUAAGUAUUGAAAAUUUUUUUGAGGUUCAAUUCAUGCAGAAUUACUAUCCCAUAAAGAUGGAGCUUCACAAAGAAAAUAAUCUUCAAUUAUGAAACGGGAAAACAGUGUCAUGCUUUUGACCGAUAAAAGUUCCUUUUUUUUAUCUGCAAUCUAAUUUCAUAUAAUGAUGGACGAGUUGUUAAUGAAACAAUAAAUAAACUUAUUACUAUAUUUAAAAACAUUCACGUACUAAACCAAGAACCAUCAUAUCCUCCAUUUGACGUAACAUUUAUUUUUCCAUGUCCCGAGAUAUUUCCAUCCUUCAAAUUUACGACCAUUUUUUCUUUAGCUUCUUGAUCGACAUCAUCAUUAAUGAGUGAAAGGGAUACUUCUUCAUUAGUCAAAUACCAUAUUUGAUGACUAAGUUUCAGUAGGGAGCUUUUGAUAUUGUUUCGUCUAUUUAUUCAAAAGCUUUAAAUUAUUUUAACAAUCAUAAAUCAUUAUAUGGUGCUGUGACUGCUAAAAUACAUUCCAAGCAAGGCUUAACGUAUAUUUAUUACAAUCAAUAAACGUAUAUCUAAUAA
rnacentral:lncRNA from 1 species